UAAUCUGUGAAUAUUAUAGCUCGUAUGAUAUGUUUGUCUCUAGAUUUUGCAAUUUCUGUGAUUGUUUAGUUAAUCUCAUGAGUUUUAAAGCAUGGGUAUGCUUAUAAUUUAAAUUUUAUGAAGUGAGAUUUUUAAUUUUGGUCAUGUCUCUUGAGGGUUUAGAUAUUUUAUUUUGUUUUAAACCUUUUGUUCAAUUUAAAAUAGUAGUAUGAUGGUAUUUGUUUUGGUUUUUUCUUGUUUGUGUUGUAAUUGAAGAUUUUGACUCCUGGGUUUUUGUAGAUGAGAUGAGAUAAGGGUCAAUAUUGUUUCAAUUGAAUACUGUUCUCCUUUAAGUGUAGAUUUGAGUCCUUAAGAGUAAUUUUUAAAACUGAAAACUGUAGUUGUAGCAAUUUACCAACAUACUUCUGCGAUUAUGUAAGACUUCAGGAUUUGUGUUGUCAAGGCAUGGAGUGUUCCUUUCUUUUCUAGGUGAGCCUGAUCACCUGUAAUCCUCACUAUUCCUACUUGUUCACCCUUGCAUAUCAAGGGAAUAUUCAGUUGUCGUAUUUCUUAUCCACUUAUUUCAUUCGUCCAGGGUUUACUUCGUGAGUUAUGGUAGGCCUAAGAUUUUAUAGGUUCCCCUAUGGUUAUCAAUGCAAUUUGUAAGUUGAUUGGUAGAGUUGUUACCAUAUAAGUCAUGUUAGAUUUUUUCGCUGUAAUAACAACUACAGUUGGUGGUCGAAACGGCCAAUCGAGGAAGAAUAUUGGUUACAUAGUAGAGCAUGUGGGGGGAAUAGGUUCAUUUGGAGUUGCCUUCCAGUCCAAAUGUAGAGAGACUGGAGAAAUAGCUGCAAUCAAGAAGGUUCGUCAAGACAAGCGUUAUAAGAAUCGGGAGCUGCAAAUUAUGCAAAUGUUGGAUCACCCAAACAUCGUAGCUCUAAAGCAUAAUUUCUUUUCGAUCACAGGCAAGGAAGAGCCAUACCUAAAUAUAGUACUUGAGUUCGUACCAAACACUGUUUAUGGUGUUGCAAAGCACUACAGUCGGAUGAACCAGCACAUGCCACUAAUAUACGUGAACCUCCAUACUUAUCAGAUCUGCAGAUCACUUUCUUACAUUCUUAACUGUUUUGGUAUAUGUCACCAUGUUAUUAAGUCGUAGAAUCUAUUGAGAAUCAAAAUGUCAAAAGGAAGAAGUACCACGUAUUCAAGGUUGGGUGUUCAACAAAAAGUUGUUAAACUACUUACACCUUUCUCAGUAUCGUGGUGAAUAGACAACCCCAUCAGCUCCAUGGAUAUCUACGAUACCGCCACUCGGGAGCAGUCUUACUCUGAAAGCUCUAACAUAGAAAGGGUAACAGUACCAUGUAUAUGGAGCGAGGGGUUUUUCUAUUGGAACAGUAAAAUGACACACCAAACCAACAAGCUGCAAUCUAAGAAAUUGAUGCAGUAAAGCCAGUGCCUCUUUCUUCAUCUCACGUUGCAUUCCUAGAGCUCCUGUUUCCUAUUGCUGGUGGUCAGGGCAGCUGGAUAAGAUGCAAAUUUUAUGACAAUUUUCAAAGCAUGAAAUUUGCAUCGUAGUUAAAACGCUUGUAAUUUUAGUAUUGUGAUGCAGUUUAUCUCCUACAGUUGGAUCACACUUCCAAACUAGAAGAGCUGGUGUAUAUCUGAGAUCCUUUGUUAAUUGUCAUUGCAUGUGCCAAUUAGAUUGAGUUUUUGUAUUUGUAUUUUUUUUAAUUUUAAUUUCAGCUAUUUCUUGGUUCUCCGCAGAACAAUUAUUUUUCCUUAUGAGAUUUCAUGAAAUAACAAUCAUAUAUGUUCUUUUCCCCUUGUUUUGAUGUUAACUAAAGCUAUCUUGAUUUAUUACUGGAGUUUUUUUUCUUCCAGAAACUCUUAUCAGUUAAUCAUUUGUGUAUCUAAUUGUUGAAUUAUAUGGAACUUCCUUAAUCAUCUAGAUAAUUUUUGCAUUUUAUGUUGUGUAACACUAAAGGUAGAAGAGAAGGUUGACGCAAUGGAUGAAGGACAACCGAAGACGGUUUCGUCUGAGGUAUAUUUGACUGCAAUAGUGUAAUUUUUUAAACCAUCCUUAUAUAUUUUCUUUUAUACUUAUUGGCAUGCAUGUCUUCUAUCUUCUAUGAUAGGUGAGGUCGUACUUGGCACACACGUAGAUUGUGUCUUAUACUACUUUAAGCAUUUUCUAAGUCAAUUAUUUUGUCCCUUUGUAUAAUCUUCUCUUUACAAGAAUAAGAGUAAGAACACGUGACUUAUAGAAUAAUCUCAAAGAGGCAUCGUGGAGGUUUCAGUCCACUGGCCCAUGACACCUUGCCUCAGUCUCACUAGAAUUAUAUUCAAACUGUUGCCUAACAUUGCUAAAAGGAAAUGGAAGCAUAAAAAGUAGUAAGUAAACAAAACUAAAAUUUAUAUGAAACAGGCUAACAAAUCAGCACCCCCUCUAUCUUUAGUAUCUUCAGCUGCUAGGAAUCUUCACAGCUUUUUGUUGGUCUAUGAACUUGUAAGGAAUCUUCACAUAGAUGUUUAGGCUUUAGGGAUCAGGAUAUUGUUCGUGUAAAUGUCUCUGAAAUCUUGUCAAACUUACUGUAGCAGGUGCCCGUUAUUUCUUUUCAGUUGAUUCUUGACAGUUGCCAUUUGACCAUGAAUCAUAAUUGCCAAUGUUUCGUACAGAUUUCCAUUGUUUUUUUCAGGUAAGGAAGCUCAUUGCUUGUAUUAUUUGUGAGAUAAUAAGGACUCAAUGUAUUGUUUUGGAUUUCCCGUUCUGCCAAGGUAUUUUUGGCCAAUAAACAUUUUUUUGGAAAAGCUGCUUGAAAAGUUGUUAAAGGCACCUGGAGAAAGUGGUUUUGGAACCCGCGUUUUGGACACAGGCCACCCCAGGGCACCCAAAGUCAGAUGCUAAAGGCACCCUACUCUGGAUAGGGGGCGCCCUCUCUCUUCUCAAAUUUAAAUAAAGAAAAAAAGGCGGGAAAACAUGAGCAUCCAUAAACAAAUUUGGAUUUGAAUUUUUGAGUUGUUUUAAAGAGAUUCAAUCACGGAUAUCGGCUUGGUUUGGCCUGUUUGAGCAUAACAGGGCUGGUAUGGGUGUUGUAAUCAACCAGAAUUGGCUGCAUGAUCGUGUGGAGAAAAACAGAGAAGAAAAUAUCUCGAACAUGAUGAUUUGCUUCUGUGUGAGAUUUAGCCGGAUUUUACUCGUGAUGUGGAUUGAUAUAAUCCUGUUUCUGUUAAACAGGGAAGGUAUGGGCUGUAGAAUCGAGAAAACAGGGAUAGGAAUCGAGUUUCUACAAAACAGGGAGAUGGUUACACUCGGGUUCUGUGGAUUGACUUGAGAUGAUUUGGGAGAAGAUAUGGUGUUGUAUAUUGAGUGUAUCUGGUCCUGUUUCAGUAUUGAGAGGGUUUGGAAAGUUUUGAUAACUCAAAACCACGUGGAGAAGAGUCAGGGAGAAGAAAUAGCCCGAAACUUUUGGUAAAAGAAAACCAAGUUAUUCUCGGAUUUUUGGGAUAUCGGGAGUGAUUCUCGUGCUUGUGGUGUAUAAAUAGGCAUCUGUUUAGGUCAAGAAAAGGAGCACGUACACUUGGAGGAGUUUAGUUGAGAGGUUGGAGAGAUUUGGGAAGCUGCAGAGCCGAGAGAAAAAAUCACAGAGAAGUUUCUUUGCCGAUGCAGGGAAGAAGAAGACGAAGAACAAAAUCAGUCGAAGAAAGUCGUUGGAAACUGCCGCAUAUACUCGACAGUUUGCAACACCUUUCUAGCAACUGCUGAAUAGUGAUACAGCACUUCUCUUUUAUCGUUCAUUUUUUGACGAUAUUUGUGCGUUCCAGAUUCCUGUUUUAUACCAUUUUCUUGUUCUUCUCUCCAUUGUAAACACCAUUUGAGCAUCAAUGAAUUAUUUUGAAAGGUUUU